rnacentral:tRNA from 2 species
GAGCCCGUAGCUCAGUUGGUAGAGCACUUGACUUUUAAUCAGGGUGUCCCGGGUUCGAGCCCCGGCGGGCUCACCA